rnacentral:rRNA from 1 species
GGCGUGCCUAAUACAUGCAAGUAGAACGCUGAAGAAAGGAGCUUGCUUCUUUUGGAUGAGUUGCGAACGGGUGAGUAACGCGUAGGUAACCUGCCUUGUAGCGGGGGAUAACUAUUGGAAACGAUAGCUAAUACCGCAUAACAGCUUUUGACACAUGUUAGAAGCUUGAAAGAUGCAAUUGCAUCACUACGAGAUGGACCUGCGUUGUAUUAGCUAGUAGGUAGGGUAACGGCCUACCUAGGCGACGAUACAUAGCCGACCUGAGAGGGUGAUCGGCCACACUGGGACUGAGACACGGCCCAGACUCCUACGGGAGGCAGCAGUAGGGAAUCUUCGGCAAUGGGGGCAACCCUGACCGAGCAACGCCGCGUGAGUGAAGAAGGUUUUCGGAUCGUAAAGCUCUGUUGUAAGAGAAGAACGUGUGUGAGAGUGGAAAGUUCACACAGUGACGGUAACUUACCAGAAAGGGACGGCUAACUACGUG